CCCUUAGAUGUUCUGGGCUGCACGCGCGCUACACUGAUGCGUUCAACGAGUUUAUGACCUUGCCCGAUAGGGUUGGGUAAUCUUUUUAAAUCGCAUCGUGAUGGGGAUAGAUUAUUGCAAUUAUUAAUCUUCAACGAGGAAUUCCUAGUAAGCGCGAGUCAUCAGCUCGUGCUGAUUACGUCCCUGCCCUUUGUACACACCGCCCGUCGCUCCUACCGAUUGAAUGAUUUAGUGAGGACUUCGGACUGGGACCGAUGCGGCUUUCGGGCUGCGUCGGUAUUCUGGAAAGAUGUCCAAACUGUAUCAUUUAGAGGAAGUAAAAGUCGUAACA
rnacentral:rRNA from 1 species